rnacentral:rRNA from 1 species
CAGCCGCCGCGGGAAUACCGAGGGUGCAAGCGUUAAUCGGAAUUACUGGGCGUAAAGCGCGCGUAGGUGGUUUGUUAAGUUGGAUGUGAAAGCCCCGGGCUCAACCUGGGAACUGCAUCCAAAACUGGCAAGCUAGAGUACGGUAGAGGGUGGUGGAAUUUCCUGUGUAGCGGUGAAAUGCGUAGAUAUAGGAAGGAACACCAGUGGCGAAGGCGACCACCUGGACUGAUACUGACACUGAGGUGCGAAAGCGUGGGGAGCAAACAGGAUUAGAUACCCCUGUAGUCCCUGUCUCUUAUAC